AUUGAACGCUGGCGGCGUGCCUUACACAUGCAAGUCGAACGGCAGCACGGGAGCAAUCCUGGUGGCGAGUGGCGAACGGGUGAGUAAUAUAUCGGAACGUGCCCAGUCGUGGGGGAUAACGUAGCGAAAGCUACGCUAAUACCGCAUACGAUCUAUGGAUGAAGGCGGGGGAUCGCAAGACCUCGCGCGAUUGGAGCGGCCGAUAUCAGAUUAGGUAGUUGGUGAGGUAAAGGCUCACCAAGCCGACGAUCUGUAGCUGGUCUGAGAGGACGACCAGCCACACUGGGACUGAGACACGGCCCAGACUCCUACGGGAGGCAGCAGUGGGGAAUUUUGGACAAUGGGCGCAAGCCUGAUCCAGCAAUGCCGCGUGCAGGAUGAAGGCCUUCGGGUUGUAAACUGCUUUUGUACGGAACGAAACGGCGAGCUCUAAUACAGUUUGCUAAUGACGGUACCGUAAGAAUAAGCACCGGCUAACUACGUGCCAGCAGCCGCAGUAA
rnacentral:rRNA from 1 species